GAGGAGGGCGAGGAGGAGAAAGAGAGCGGAGAAGAGGAAGAGGAGGCAAGCAAAGUUGAGGAAGAGGAGGAGGAGCAGAUGGAAGCGAAAGAAAGUGGAGAAAAUUCCUCCGAGAAGGAGGAGGAGGAGGGUGAAGAGAAAGAGGGAGAGAUGGAGAGUGGCGGAGAGGAAGAGGAAAAUGGGGAUGAAGAAAAGAGUGAGGGAGCGUCAGAGGAAGAGGAGGAGGAGGAGAAUAAACAGAAUGAGGAAGAAGGCGAGGACGGAGGGAAAGAAGAGGGGGAAGAAGAGAGCAAAGAAAAGGGAGAGGAAGAAGAACAGAAUCAUGAAGAGGAAGAGGAAGGAGAAGAGGCAGAAGAAAAGGGAGAGGAAGAAGAACAGAAUAAUGAAGAGGAAGAGGAAGGAGAAGAGGCAGAAGAAAAGGGAGAGGAAGAAGAACAGAAUCAUGAAGAGGAGGGAGAAGAGGCAGAAGAAAAGGGGGAGGAAGAAGAACAGAAUCAUGAAGAGGAAGAGGAAGGAGAAGAGGCAGAAGAAAAGGGAGAGGAAGAAGAAGAGAAUCAUGAAGAGGAAGAGGAAGGAGAAGAGGCAGAAGAAAAGGGAGAGGAAGAAGAAGAGAAUCAUGAAGAG
ensembl:lncRNA